rnacentral:rRNA from 1 species
AGUGAACGCUGGCGGUAGGCCUAACACAUGCAAGUCGAACGGCAGCACAGGAGAGCUUGCUCUCUGGGUGGCGAGUGGCGGACGGGUGAGGAAUGCAUCGGAAUUUACUCUUUCGUGGGGGAUAACGUAGGGAAACUUACGCUAAUACCGCAUACGACCUACGGGUGAAAGCCGGGGACCUUCGGGCCUGGCGCGAAUGAAUGAGCCGAUGCCCGAUUAGCUAGUUGGCGGGGUAAGAGCCCACCAAGGCGACGAUCGGUAGCUGGUCUGAGAGGAUGAUCAGCCACACUGGAACUGAGACACGGUCCAGACUCCUACGGGAGGCAGCAGCGGGGAAUAUUGGACAAUGGGCGCAAGCCUGAUCCAGCCAUACCGCGUUGGUGAAGAAGGCCUUCGGGUUGUAAAGCCCUUUUGUUGGGAAAGAAAAGCAGUCGGUUAAUACCCGAUUGUUCUGACGGUACCCAAAGAAUAAGCACCGGCUAACUUCGUGCCAGCCGCCGCGGUAACAC